UCCCUGGUGACUCAGUGGUAAAGAAUCUGCCUGUCAAUGCAGAAGGCACAGGUUCGAUCCCUGAUCUGGGAA
rnacentral:tRNA from 1 species